rnacentral:rRNA from 1 species
CAAUAGCGUAUAUUAACGUUGUUGCAGUUAAAAAGCUCGUAGUUGGAUUUCUGGAGGGAGCGUCGGCCCGUAUUUACGAGUGCGUGACGUCUCUGUCCAUCCUUGCUGGAAGGCACGGCAUUGAUUUGUUGUGUCGGAUCGCAUCAUUUACUGUGAAAAAAUUAGAGUGUUCAAAGCAGGCUUUCGCUUGAAUACAUUAGCAUGGAAUAAUAAGAUAGGACUUUGGUGCUAUUUUGUUGGUUGAGCCUAAAGUAAUGAUUAAUAGGGAUAGUUGGGGGCACCUGUAUUGCGUUGUCAGAGGUGAAAUUCUUGGAUUUACGCAAGACAAACAGCUGCGAAAGCGUCUGCCAAGGAUGUUUUCAUUAA